GUCUAUUAUGAUUAACAUCUCCUGGUCUAGGAGUAGUAAACUCUUUAAAAGUAAUUUAGAACCUUAAGGAAUAGAGACAGUAUUGUGUACUAGAAUUGCGAUAGGGUUCAAUGAGAUACCAUAGUGAAGAGAAUUGUAUGAUUACAUUUAUCAUGUCCUUAAAAAUAGACAUUAAGCUGGCGAGAUGGCUCGGCAGGUAAGAGCACUGACUGCUCUUCCGAAGGUCCUGAGUUCAAAUCCCAACAACCACGUGAUAGCUCACAACCACUCAUAAGGAGAUCUGAUGUCUUCUUCUGAUAUGUCUGAAGUCAGCUACAGUGUACUUACGUAAGUAAAUCUUUGGGCCGGA
rnacentral:lncRNA from 1 species